UGGGCUUGACAUAUACGUGGUAGGGAACCGAAAGGUGACCGACCCGCAAGGGAGCGUAUACAGGUGCUGCAUGGCUGUCGUCAGCUCGUGUCGUGAGAUGUUGGGUUAAGUCCCGCAACGAGCGCAACCCUCGCCCUUAGUUGCCAUCAUUCAGUUGGGCACUCUAGGGGGACUGCCGGUGAUAAGCCGAGAGGAAGGUGGGGAUGACGUCGA
rnacentral:misc_RNA from 1 species